CUGGGAGGACCAUCUCCUAAGGCUAAAUACUCUCUAGUGACCGAUAGUGAACCAGUACCGUGAGGGAAAGGUGAAAAGCACCCCGGAAGGGGAGUGAAAUAGAACCUGAAACCGUGUGCUUACAAGUAGUCAGAGCCCGUUAAUGGGUGAUGGCGUGCCUUUUGUAGAAUGAACCGGCGAGUUACGAUUUGAUGCAAGGUUAAGCAGUAAAUGUGGAGCCGUAGCGAAAGCGAGUCUGAAUAGGGCGUUUAGUAUUUGGUCGUAGACCCGAAACCAGGUGAUCUACCCUUGGUCAGGUUGAAGUUCAGGUAACACUGAAUGGAGGACCGAACCGACUUACGUUGAAAAGUGAGCGGAUGAACUGAGGGUAGCGGAGAAAUUCCAAUCGAACCUGGAGAUAGCUGGUUCUCUCCGAAAUAGCUUUAGGGCUAGCCUCAAGUGAUGAUUAUUGGAGGUAGAGCACUGUUUGGACGAGGGGCCCCUCUCGGGUUACCGAAUUCAGACAAACUCCGAAUGCCAAUUAAUUUAACUUGGGAGUCAGAACAUGGGUGAUAAGGUCCGUGUUCGAAAGGGAAACAGCCCAGACCACCAGCUAAGGUCCCAAAAUAUAUGUUAAGUGGAAAAGGAUGUGGCGUUGCCCAGACAACUAGGAUGUUGGCUUAGAAGCAGCCAUCAUUUAAAGAGUGCGUAAUAGCUCACUAGUCGAGUGACACUGCGCCGAAAAUGUACCGGGGCUAAACAUAUUACCGAAGCUGUGGAUUGUCCUUUGGACAAUGGUAGGAGAGCGUUCUAAGGGCGUUGAAGCAUGAUCGUAAGGACAUGUGGAGCGCUUAGAAGUGAGAAUGCCGG
rnacentral:rRNA from 1 species